rnacentral:rRNA from 1 species
AGAGUUUGAUCCUGGCUCAGGAUGAACGCUAGCGAUAGGCUUAACACAUGCAAGUCGAGGGGCAGCAUUAUUUUAGCUUGCUAAGAUAGAUGGCGACCGGCGCACGGGUGCGUAACGCGUAUGCAACCUGCCUGUAAUUAGGGCAUAACCCGGUGAAAGUCGGACUAAUACCCUAUAUUCUUCUUUUUCCGCAUGGAGAAGGACGGAAAGAUUUAUUGAUUACAGAUGGGCAUGCGUCCCAUUAGCUAGUUGGUAAGGUAACGGCUUACCAAGGCAACGAUGGGUAGGGGGACUGAGAGGUUGACCCCCCACACUGGUACUGAGACACGGACCAGACUCCUACGGGAGGCAGCAGUGAGGAAUAUUGGUCAAUGGGCGAGAGCCUGAACCAGCCAAGUCGCGUGAAGGACGACGGUUCUAUGGAUUGUAAACUUCUUUUGUAGAGGAAUAAUGGCAGCUACGUGUAGCUGAGAUGCAUGUACUCUACGAAUAAGUAUCGGCUAACUCCGUGCCAGCAGCCGCGGUAAUACGGAGGAUACGAGCGUUAUCCGGAAUUAUUGGGUUUAAAGGGUGCGUAGGUGGCGUAUUAAGUCAGUGGUGAAAAGCUGCAGCUCAACUGUAGUCUUGCCGUUGAAACUGAUAUGCUAGAGAGGAGACGAGGUAUGCGGAAUGUGUGGUGUAGCGGUGAAAUGCAUAGAUAUCACACAGAACGCCGAUUGCGAAGGCAGCGUACCAGGCUCCGUCUGACACUGAAGCACGAAAGCGUGGGGAUCAAACAGGAUUAGAUACCCUGGUAGUCCACGCAGUAUACGAUGAAUACUAGAUUUUUGCGAUAUAGUGUAAGAGUCUAAGCGAAAGCGAUAAGUAUUCCACCUGGGGAGUACGCCGGCAACGGUGAAACUCAAAGGAAUU